rnacentral:rRNA from 1 species
CAGUCGCCGCGGUAAUACAGAGGGUGCAAGCGUUAAUCGGAAUUACUGGGCGUAAAGCGCGCGUAGGUGGUUUGUUAAGUUGGAUGUGAAAUCCCCGGGCUCAACCUGGGAACUGCAUCCAAAACUGGCAAGCUAGAGUAUGGUAGAGGGUGGUGGAAUUUCCUGUGUAGCGGUGAAAUGCGUAGAUAUAGGAAGGAACACCAGUGGCGAAGGCGACCACCUGGACUGAUACUGACACUGAGGUGCGAAAGCGUGGUGAGCAAACAGGAUUAAAUACCCCGGUAGUCCCUGUCUCUUAUAC